rnacentral:rRNA from 1 species
UGGGGAAUAUUGCACAAUGGGCGCAAGCCUGAUGCAGCCAUGCCGCGUGUGUGAAGAAGGCCUUCGGGUUGUAAAGCACUUUCAGCGAGGAGGAAGGUGGUGAGCUUAAUACGUUCAUCAAUUGACGUUACUCGCAGAAGAAGCACCGGCUAACUCCGUGCCAGCAGCCGCGGUAAUACGGAGGGUGCAAGCGUUAAUCGGAAUUACUGGGCGUAAAGCGCACGCAGGCGGUUUGUUAAGUCAGAUGUGAAAUCCCCAGGGCCUCAAGCCUGGGAACUGCAUUUGAAACUGGCAAGCUAGAGUCUCGUAGAGGGGGGUAGAAUUCCAGGUGUAGCGGUGAAAUGCGUUAGAGAUCUGGAGGAAUACCGGUGG